GCCUGGGUGGCUCAGUCAGUUGAGCGUCUGACUUCAGCUCAGGUCAUGAUCUCAUGGUUCAUGAGUUCAAGCCCUGUGUCAGGCU
rnacentral:tRNA from 1 species